CGCCUCGCCCCACCAUCAGCCAAGGGCAGUGCUGUGGCUGACAGCAGAACCCAGAGCCACAGCGCUGGAAGAAAGUGGUUCACCAGUUCUAUCUUCCCAGUCUGGAAGCUCUGCUGACACCGGGCCGGCACCCACGCCAACCUCCAAUCACAGGCGCAUGGCCUUAGCCUCCGGCUUAGAAGAGGAGAGUCCCAUCAUGACCGGCUGCCCACAACCCUCCCUAUACACGCUUUCUGCCGA